UCUUGUGUUAUUCUGUCAACCUUUAUUCCAGACACAAGAAACGUCCUUAGUAAAAAUGGAGACAAAACAAACGCGUAUCAAAAGAAAAAUAAAAGGUUCUAAAAAACACAGCAUAUGACGUUGUUCAUUGAGUCACAAAUUGACGACGAUGCCAGUGAUUCCACAGUCUGGAGCUCACCCAGCAGUGUUUUCCCCUUGUCAUCUUUGACUCUCUGUCCAUCAGAAAGAACAGAUCACAGUUUCCGCAUGCAGUCAUUUCAGCUGAAACAAAGCGGUAACACCCGGGCAGCAGGAUGUCAAGGACUGUGAGCC